GACAGAGGUGCCGAGCGUUAGGCGGAAUCACUGGGCUUAAAGCGUGUGUAGGCGGAUCGUUAAGUACCUUGUGAAAUCCCACGGCUUAACCGUGGAACUGCUUGGUAUACUGGCGGUCUUGAGCCACCUAGGGGCAACCGGAACAAAUGGUGGAGCGGUGAAAUGCGUAGAUAUCAAGAGGAACACCUGAGGUGAAGACGGGUUGCUGGGCCGACACUGACGCUGAAGCGCGAAAGCCAGGGGAGCAAACGGG
rnacentral:rRNA from 1 species